UACGUAGGUGGCAAGCGUUGUCCGGAAUUAUUGGGCGUAAAGCGCGCGCAGGCGGUCCUUUAAGUCUGAUGUGAAAUCCCACGGCUCAACCGUGGAAGGUCAUUGGAAACUGGGGGACUUGAGUACAGAAGAGGAAAGCGGAAUUCCAAGUGUAGCGGUGAAAUGCGUAGAGAUUUGGAGGAACACCAGUGGCGAAGGCGGCGUUCUGGUCUGUAACUGACGCUGAGGCGCGAAAGCGUGGGGAGCAAACAGG
rnacentral:rRNA from 1 species